CCUGAGAAACCCAAAAGAUCGAAUGGGGAGAUUCAUCGUCAGCGAUCUUUGUACUUGCGCGGUUCGUGAUGUUUCGCGACUCCGGUUUCGUGACACACGUCCGUGUUAUUCGUACGAGGUAUCGUCGGCGUGCACUUCUUCCCUAGUAGGACGUCGCGACCCGUUGGGUGUCGGUCUACAGCCUGGAUUGGCGCCUGUCAUGUGCAACGCUCAACGGCGUGUCAUGUGACAGACCUCCGGUUGCUCGACCAGCUGCCCGGCGGUAYUCGCACGGUAUUAAGCCGCAAAAAAUUGAAUUGCGUCCGGCCCGCCGCAAGCUUGGCCAGUAUUUCGGAUGUUUACGGACUUUGCGCCGUCGCCGGACCUGGUCGGCUGUUGGUUGGCGGUGUCCUGGGACUGGCUUUGCAAUUAAUAAAAUACCGGUCAGCGACGCUACUGCUUUGGGUACUUUCAGGACCCGUCUUGAAACACGGA
rnacentral:rRNA from 1 species